UAUCGCUCCAAGGAGAAUUCAAACUUAUUUUUAUGUAUAGAAAAGAGAAAAGGAAAAUAUGAAACCAGUUUAUUUGCACAGACUCCCAAUCGCGGGAGUCUCAUGUAUAACGAAAUGGACCCAACGGAAAAAUACUAACCUCAGACCGUAUUUUACGUCAUAAAACGAUAGUGCAUUCGAAAGCAAUUAAAAUGUGAUGAAUCCUAAUUUUUGAGAGCUUGGCUAAGCUACUAUAUAAAGCAGUCGCAAAUAAGUUCCUGCUACAGUCUCCAGCUUAAACUUCAGGUUUGUAGUGAUAGAAAGGUGCAUUUUAGUUCAAGAUGUCGAAUGCGAUACUCGUUAGCGUGGUGGCAUUGAUAUUGUGUGGAAUUUUGGGGUCCGGAGCUCCAACAAACAAAGAAACAACUUCUGUGCAGUCCAUAGAGAAACAAAACAAUCAUCAUGAAUUCGAUUUGAGUCAUAAGGUUAAAAGAGACAACGGACAAAACACUUUCCAGGGAAAUCAACAGUAUCAGCACACAGUAGUGGACUCAAGCGUCACCACUACAAUGAUGGGACCACAAGCUGUUGGUACUAGUGCUGCAGCUGCACCUGGAGAUAGCCUUGAUUUACAAUUAUCGUGUUCACUUUGCGCCGGGAAAUAAAGCAUACGAAAUAGUUUAAAUUCAGUUGUGUUUUUUUUACUAUGAGAAAGACGAUUUUAUCUUUAAACUUUAUUAUUUUUUUUAUUUGUCCCAUAUUUGGCACACACUUUAUUCAUGACCAAAAGAACAAUGUGCAAUAUCAGUUUGCCUAUUUGAAUUUGGUAUUAAUUUUGAUAACGGCCUAAGUAAAUCCCUGUAACUAGGAUAUAAUCGAUUCAAUAAAUGAGAUUUGAAAACUAGAAAAUGAAGAUCAAAUGAGGUUUGAAUGUCACAAAUAAAUAGGCCCAGUAUCGGAUCAAAGGAUUCUUUCGCUGUUGCAUUCGAGCAGGGUUCUGACGUGUUAGUACGAAAAAAUAUUUAUGAAAACGGGCGGGAAAGCACUUGGCCAUGUUCCGGACUAGAGGGUAUGCCUCUAAGGACGUGAGCAUCUUACUGACCUGAGCCGAUCCCUAGCGUGCGAUCUAUCAAACUUCAUGAUUUUUGCCGCUUGUGAUCUUAGGGUUACACUCGGAAAAUCUCCAGAAGUGUUCUCACAGAUUUUUCUUGAAAUUUCUUCUGGUAUAGGUAUUUCCUAGGAUUUCAAUCAAAUUUGAUCCUGGACUUUUCCUACAGUUAUACUCGGCAUUUCUUUAGGAACUACUCCGAGGAUUUUUCUAAGUUUCCUUUCGACAUUUCUCAUAAAAUUCUACUGGUAAUUUUUCGCUGAGAAUCCAGACUUUCCCUAAGAAUUUUUCUUCUCAUUGGAUUACUUAUAGAGUUCAUCCCAAAGUGCCUCCUAAAAUUUCUUCAAAUUAGCUCCUGGGAUUAUCUGUUGAGCUCCUUCAGGUAUUUCUUUCUAAGAUACUGAUGGGUUUUUUUUUUCCUUCUGAAAUUUCUUCUGGA